UCACUCUGGAGAGUUCCCGCAGGGGACGCCGAAGGUGUACGGCGGCUUGCCGCCAAUCUCUCAGGCAAACGGACAGAGUUUU
rnacentral:ncRNA from 1 species